rnacentral:misc_RNA from 1 species
GGAAGUAAAAAUCCGUAACAAGGUCUCCGUAGGUGAACCUGCGGAGGGAUCAUUACAGAGUUCUCGCCCUCACGGGUAGAUCUCCCACCCAAUGUUAUCGUUACCACUGUUUCUUUGGCGGGCCGCCGGGCCCUGCUCGGCCGCCGGCUCCGGCUGGCGCGCGCCCGCCAGAGGCCCUUUAAACCCUGAAUGUCAGUGUCGUCUGAGUACUAUACAAUAGUUAAAACUUUCAACAACGGAUCUCUUGGUUCUG